UGGGGAAUUUUGGACAAUGGGGGCAACCCUGAUCCAGCAAUGCCGCGUGAGUGAAGAAGGCCUUCGGGUUGUAAAGCUCUUUUGUCCGGGAAGAAAUCCCAUCCCUGAAUACGGGAUGGGGAUGACGGUACUGGAAGAAUAAGCACCGGCUAACUACGUGCCAGCAGCCGCGGUAAUACGUAGGGUGCAAGCGUUAAUCGGAAUUACUGGGCGUAAAGCGUGCGCAGGCGGUUGUGCAAGACCGAUGUGAAAUCCCCGGGCUUAACCUGGGAACUGCAUUGGUGACUGCACGGCUAGAGUGUGUCAGAGGGGGGUAGAAUUCCACGUGUAGCAGUGAAAUGCGUAGAGAUGUGGAGGAAUACCGAUGGCGAAGGCAGCCCCCUGGGAUAACACUGACGCUCAUGCACGAAAGCGUGGGGAGCAAACAGGAUUAGAUACCCUGGUAGUCCACGCCCUAAACGAUGUCAACUAGUUGUCGGGGAUUAAUUUCCUUGGUAACGCAGCUAACGCGUGAAGUUGACCGCCUGGGGAGUACGGUCGCAAGAUUAAAAGCUC
rnacentral:rRNA from 1 species